UGCUUCGGACCUGGCUACCUUGACA
rnacentral:misc_RNA from 1 species